rnacentral:rRNA from 1 species
UACGUAGGGGGCAAGCGUUGUCCGGAUUUAUUGGGCGUAAAGAGCUCGUAGGCGGCUCGGUAAGUCGGAUGUGAAACCUCCAGGCUCAACCUGGAGACGCCAUCUGAUACUGCCGUGGCUUGAGUCCGGUAGAGGAGCAGGGAAUUCCUGGUGUAGCGGUGAAAUGCGCAGAUAUCAGGAGGAACACCAGCGGCGAAGGCGCUGCUCUGGGCCGGUACUGACGCUGAGACGCGAAAGCGUGGGGAGCGAACAGG